GAUGAAGAACGUAGCGAAAUGCGAUACGUAAUGUGAAUUGCAGAAUUCAGUGAAUCAUCGAGUCUUUGAACGCACAUUGCGCCCACUGGUAUUCCGGUGGGCAUGCCUGUUCGAGCGUCAUUAUCCUCCCUCAAACCCCGGGUUUGGUGUUGGACCCAAGUUGUGUGAACAACUGGUCUCAAAGACAAUGACGGCGUCCGUGGGACCCUCGGUGCAACGAGCUUUUAGGAGCACGCAUCGAGUUGCAAGGACCUUCCGGGCCGGUCUCCUUUACCAUUUUACAAGGUUGACCUCGGAUCAGGUAGGAAUACCCGCUGAACUUAAGCAUAUCAAUAAGCGGAGGA
rnacentral:misc_RNA from 1 species